rnacentral:rRNA from 1 species
CUAAAACGACUCUCGGCAACGGAUAUCUCGGCUCUCGCAUCGAUGAAGAACGUAGCGAAAUGCGAUACUUGGUGUGAAUUGCAGAAUCCCGUGAACCAUCGAGCCUUUGAACGCAAGUUGCGCCCCAAGCCUUCUGGCCGAGGGCACGUCUGCCUGGGUGUCACA